rnacentral:RNase_P_RNA from 1 species
GAAGCACGCCAGACCGUCGCUGGUGCAAUCUCCGAAAGGAGGCACUGGAGGAACGUCCGGACUGCACAGGACAGCGUAGGAGGUAACACCUCUCCACCGUGAGGUGAGGAUCAGAGCAACAGAGACGAGCCGAUUGAGUUCGGGUGAAACGGGCAAUCUCUACGCGCAGCAAUACCAAGUAGGCCAGCGUUGAUGUGGUUCCGCAGAGCUGGCGGGUAGGUAGCACCGAGCCGGGUGGGCAACCCCCGGCCCAGAGUAAUGGCGGUCACGCAGCGGGCAACCGCUGUGCACAGAAUCCGGCUUAUCGGCGGGCUUCACAC